UCGCUCGGUGGGAGAGCCCCUGCCCUGCAUGCACGAAGUAGCAGGUUCAAGCAGCACCUGCAGGCAGGGCUGGGAAUGCCUCUCCUCUGAAACUCUGGGCAGCUGCUGCCAGUCAGUGCGGUAACAGGUCAAUAGCAUGCUUUUAAAAAUAACGCACCAUCACAGCUAGAAUCAGCUGGUGCUCUCCACAGCUGACUCUCCUGAACACUUUGGAAGAUGCCAACAGGCAACGUGGGAAUAAAGGAGUCAUAGAUUUUCCUCAACCACCGUGAGAUUCUCAAUUGCCUGAGCCUGGAGAGACUCUCAAGGUGUUGCAUUGGGACUCUGGUAUUAGAAUGCAAGGAUAACAGUGACUGCAGAAAACACAGCCCAUAAAACCAAACUUUCCCAUGGAAAAGAAAAACCAAACUCAUUAUUUUUGGCAAUAUGGUGGUCCUCUACUUCUUAUACCAAUAGGCCAAUAAACUCCCACAAGUGACAUUAGGCAUUUGGUUAUCUUAACCAUCUAUUGCAAGCUCUACAUAAUUUUAUUCUGAUACGUUGCCCAACGGCAAUCAAAACUGUAUCAUUCUUUACAUUUAGAAAUAUCGCUAUUGAAACAUGGCAGUGUUGUUGCUGUGGGAGGAGAGUGGGGAGAUGUUGUGCUAUUUUUCCUGUCUUUUAAGAAAAUAUGGAUGCAUUUUGCCAAAAUCCUUUCUAAAAAAAUCAGCUUAUGCUGUGUAGACGCUCCUGUUUCCCCUGCACCGCCGGUUUGGGGAGUGAUUUCACGCAUCUGCAGAGCGCCGUCCCUGACGGGGCAUCCCAGGGCUUCCUUGCUUUAUGACCCCAGGAUCUCUUCUCCCUCCGUGGCCUCCACCUCCAGGGGCGGGGGCGUUCCGCCCGCCCCAGCGUUAGGCCUCUUUGCCAUUGUGCCCUUUCAGAGCUGCCUGGAAACAAGGGGAGGGUCUUUCAUGGUUCCUGGGGGGACAAAGGCAGGACAUUUCGCCCGGCUUCAUUACACAAUCAUCAGAGAUGCCGGAGCAACAUUUCCCACUAGUUAUCGUAAAUAGUUGGUUGGUUGGGGCGGAGGGCAAGCCUCUUUCGGAGGCGUCCAAGUCGGUUGCCGUCACCACCUCUUGCAGAAGCAAGCUCCGUCGUCUAAUUCUGCGCUGCAUGAAGAAGUCUUUCCAGAGUGGACCCCUGGACAUGCUGUGCACCUGCAGCCCUGGGUAGAGGAUGCCUAUGGAAACCAGCAAGCCAGAUUCGAGGGCGACUCUGCUGGAAACUACAGGAGGAAAGGCUUUGCAGGGAGAGCACUGGAUUCCCAAGCACGCCCAGGCUUGCAACAUUCACCCCUGCGGAGCCGGGCAGCCAGCAUACAUGGCUAGCUGGCGCCCUCUGCUGGCUCCUUGCUGAAAAAUAUUCGUGUUUAGACAAGGCUACCCAGAGGCUUGGAAAGUGAAUUUUAAUCUGCUCUAGUGUUGUACAUUUCCAUAGGUUUUAAAGUAUUGUUGUAAAUUUU